UUCUUUUGAGAUAUUUAUUUACAUACUUAACAUAAAUCUAGUUAAACUUUCACAUUAAUAUGUCAUUAUUGUAGAUGCUUCAAGAACUUUCUAAAUUAGUUAGUGUUGUUUUCUAUUUUCACAUUAGUUUAGACUAAUAUUUAAGGUAAGAAAGUUUAAAACAGAUAAGAAUUGAAGUAUGUUUCGACAUUUUGGUGAGGGGAAAAAAAGCUUAAGUUUCGGGGAUGAGGAGUCAAUAUAUAGAACAUACCGUACGGAAGUGCUUACUCCCUCCCAAAAGUAAUCUACUACUAUAUGUAAUAAGGCACAUGUCAACGAAAUACGUACUUUAUAGCAUGAGUAUUACCUUGAACAAGGAAGCACUUUGGGCUCAAGUAUUUCAGCCCCGUUUGCACUGUAAUCAUAGCCACCUUUGGAAUUCAAAUCAAAGUUGAUCAUAUUCUUUUCGAUAUUAAACUCGUUUGUGUCUUCUUCUGCAGCCUCCAUUUUGCAUAUCUGGAUGAGUGAAUCACCGGUCUUCUUACAAACAUCAUUUAGGUUUGUUAUACUUCCUCUUAUUUCUUGUUUCUUAAAUUUUUCAAUUUGAUCUGACAGAGCCGCAUCGAAGUUUAUUAACUGCAUUUCUGUGCUUUGGUCAAGACUACCAAGGUUACUGUUAAUGGCGAGUGCCAGACUCUUUUGUGCAUUCUCUAAGAUAUCUUGCAAGUAUUUUCCUUGAGCCUCUAUUCUCAUUUGUAGUUUAUUUUGUACCUGUCUUUACAAGAGCCAACAAAAUGAAAAUCGAUCACAAACUUGAGAUUGAGUUUGUUGUAACUAGAAGAAUUUAGCAAGGUGUACCUCGAGUUGUUCUAGUAUUGUUUUUUGGACUUCAACAUGUGAUUUAAG
rnacentral:lncRNA from 1 species